rnacentral:pre_miRNA from 1 species
UAAUGAAGAUGGUGAUAAUGAUGAUGAUGACGACGAUUAUAUUCAUCGAUAUUUCUCUCCAAUAUUAUUAUCAUCAUCAUCAUCAUUAUCAUCAUCA